UGGGGAAUAUUGCACAAUGGGCGCAAGCCUGAUGCAGCCAUGCCGCGUGUAUGAAGAAGGCCUUCGGGUUGUAAAGUACUUUCAGCGGGGAGGAAGGGAGUAAAGUUAAUACCUUUGCUCAUUGACGUUACCCGCAGAAGAAGCACCGGCUAACUCCGUGCCAGCAGCCGCGGUAAUACGGAGGGUGCAAGCGUUAAUCGGAAUUACUGGGCGUAAAGCGCACGCAGGCGGUUUGUUAAAUCAGAUGUGAAAUCCCCGGGCUCAACCUGGGAACUGCAUCUGAUACUGGCAAGCUUGAGUCUCGUAGAGGGGGGUAGAAUUCCAGGUGUAGCGGUGAAAUGCGUAGAGAUCUGGAGGAAUACCGGUGGCGAAGGCGGCCCCCUGGACAAAGACUGACGCUCAGGUGCGAAAGCGUGGGGAGCAAACAGG
rnacentral:rRNA from 1 species